GCUUCUGUAAGCCUGGGCUGAUGUUUUGCAUGACAGUUUUUAAUCUAACAGCUGUAUUCUCUCUUGUUCUUUCCUUAGUCUAUGAUUAAUCUCGGCCCUAGUGAUAAUUCAGAAUGAAACUGCAAAGCAGAGCACAACUUCUUUCUGCCUUCUGCAACUCAGAGAAAAAGAUAUAUCAGAUAUCUCAACCUCCUGGGAUUGCAAAUGGCAAUCACAACAUUCACCUGCUUGGUGCAGGAAUCCACCCUCUGAGAAUCACCCUGAGAUCACCAUCUAAUAUGAGCCACCAGUGCUGGGUGGGAUGCCACAUGCCAAUUUUUUGCAGCGCUACCAGCUUCAACCCCUCUGCCUGCCCACCUGGUGCUGCCUAUCGCACUGAAACAACUGCUUCUCAACCACACGGACCUGCAGUCCUGCUCCAUGCUGAAGCAACAUUCCCGCUGUGCGAGGGGCUCCGAGACCCUAGUGCCAUCACCUACUCAAGAAUAUCACCCUUGCCUCCACGAAUGCUUCCUUCUUGAAGACUCUGUGGUGGGAAGAGGGUAUGGCUCAGGCUAUCCUUGCCUGGGAAGGAUCCAGCCCCUGCUGCGCCUGGGCUCCUGUGCCCAGCACUGCGGUGACUGCAGGCUCUGCCCCUACGCAGGUGCUGAGGACUGCUGCAUUGUGACAUAUCGUCCCCUUG
rnacentral:lncRNA from 1 species